GGUCUGGUGGUGUAGCGGCAACACCUCCCUCUUCAUUGACCCGUGAUGAUACAAGUAUUUGGGGUGUCCCUUGUUCGAAUCAAGGCCAGGCCA